rnacentral:rRNA from 1 species
UACGUAGGGGGCAAGCGUUGUCCGGAUUUACUGGGCGUAAAGAGCGUGUAGGCGGCCACGCAGGUCCGUUGUGAAAACUGGAGGCUCAACCUUCAGACGUCGACGGAAACCGUGCGGCUAGAGUCCGGAAGAGGAGAGUGGAAUUCCUGGUGUAGCGGUGAAAUGCGCAGAUAUCAGGAAGAACACCCGUGGCGAAGGCGGCUCUCUGGGACGGUACUGACGCUGAGACGCGAAAGCGUGGGGAGCGAACAGG